rnacentral:rRNA from 1 species
CCAGCCUGCCCAGUGACAUAUUUCAACGGCCGCAGUACUUUGACCGCGCGAAGGUAGCAUAAUCACUUGUCCUUUAAAUGGGGACUUGUAUCAACGGCAUCACGAGGGUUCCACUGUCUCCUUUCUCUAAUCAGUGAAACUAAUCCCCCCGUGAAGAAGCGGGGAUAAACCUAUAAGACGAGAAGACCCCAUGGAGCUUUAAACUAACCACAUCCCCGCUUAUCAUACCCUCUCAAUAACCGGGGGCCUGUAGGCUCAGUUUUAGGUUGGGGUGACCCUGGAGUACAAUUAAGCCUCCAUGAUGAAUGAGACUGCUCUCUUAUCUAAGAAAUACACCUCUAAGAAUUAAUAUAUUAAUGUAAAAUGAUCCGAUAAUCGAUCAACGGACCAAGUUACCCUGGGGAUAACAGCGCAAUCCAUUUUAAGAGCCCCUAUCGACAAAUGGGUUUACGACCUCGAUGUUGGAUCAGGAUAUCCCAGUGGUGCAACAGCUACUAAAGGUUUGUUUGUUCAACAAUUAA